rnacentral:tRNA from 1 species
CGGUGUGGCGGAAUUGGCAGACGCGCACGACUCAAAAUCGUGUUCCUUCGGGAGUGUCGGUUCGACCCCCCCGACCACCG